UAUCCCCGCAAUUAAAAAAACAGGGCAAUCGAUGGUAGAAAAAAGUUUCGCAUUUUUUUAUAGAACGAGCAGAAAAAUUAAUUAGCUUUCGACCGAAACGAUGUAAAAUACAACACUCUCUCGCGAUUAUAUAAGCACGUGUUCUAGACAGAUUCCGAUUAUUCCCGAACGAGAAAGCGCAAAUAUAUUUCGACCGAUAACGCGAUAUAUAUUUAUUUGCUCCCUCGAAACUUCUGCGAUCCCAAAACUCUAAAAUUUACGCAAUCUGUCGUACAUGAAAUUAUCUUUGUUUAUCAAACCUGCGUGUUUCACAGUUUCACGGAAACGAUUGCAGUUGUUGCGAUCCUCUUCGCACACUCCGGUAGAUCUUUAUGAAAAAUUGCGUGCGCACGAUAAAAAGCGGACGAAAACCCAUUAUACGUAUCCCGGCUUCGUUUUCGAGAAUAGCAUAACGCGAGCGUCACACGAUACUCCUGCAGAUUCAGGACAACUCUCCAUCGAAACACGAUAAGCCUUGUGUUUGACGUCAGCACGAACAUGCGUGAAGGAACCGUGCACGAGUGCACGGGUGCACGUGACAACGAGCUCCGAUACCCAGCGAACGAGAUGCAUGCGUUUCGAGAGAAGUCGAGGAGAAAGAAAAUAUGCAAGGACGAAAUUCUUGUCGUGUGCAAAUUCGAACCUGAUCGUUUCGCGCCACAAGUGCUGAGAAAAUUCACGAUGCGGCAACUUUGAACCACGAUAAGAAUCUCCAACGAAGAAUCGGCAUCAUUUGCUGUACAAAUUACAAAAUUCGAUCUCGCGUCUUGGCCCAUAUGUAUUUAACUUUCCUGUAAUCUUCGUGUCAGCAAACGCAACCUUAUACCGUUAUAGAACUUAAUCUAGGCUAAACUUCUACUCAGAGUAACUGGUAAAAACCAUAGCUUCAACGCGAUGUAAAAUAGAUGGAAAUGCCCAUUAACCGAUGUUAAAUCGUUUAUUAAUAUAUUAUUUAUAUAUGUAUGAAAUAUUUACUGGUAAAUAUUUUUGGAGCGAAACGAUGCUGUCUAAGAUUAAUUCUAAAGUUAGACUAUGAAUUCAACGUAAAACGAAACGAGCGUGAAAACACGCAAGACUAACAAUAUAGACGUAAAAACUUAGACGUGUUACAGCAGAAAUCUCGAGUAGUUACGACUCUUUCCGUCAAAACGUGAUAAGCAUUCGAUUCGGUAUCGGCAGGAACGUUUCGCGAAGGAACGCACGUGACAAUAAGUGGCAGCGCUACCGGCGCGCACGAUACAGAAUACACGUGGUAAGAUCGUCGAGGAGGAGAAAGAGGAGAGCAACGCAGCCGCGCGCAGAAGGGAACGCAGACGGAAAGAAAAGACACGACCGGGGUCGCCAACUUACACAGUGAUAAUCAAAGAAAGUAAGUGGGAGACGAGGAUCGCCUUGGUCGGAGAACAAGGAGGAGGAGGAGGAGGAGGAGGAGGAGGAGGAGAAGGAGGAGAAGAAAAAGAAGAGGAAGAAGAAGAAGAAGAAGAAGAAGAAGAAGAGGAAGACGGGGCAGGACGUAAAUACGAAGAAAGAUGGGGCUACCAACAAAGAUAGAACGCAACGCUAGAGAUAAAGAGAGGGGAGAAAGCAGAAGGAGGGGAAUAUACGUUGCGAAAAAGGCUGAGAAACACAACAAAAAUAGACAGACACGCGUAUCGAAGGAUAGGUAAGUUAAAAGGAGAUAGAAAGACGACAGAAGUGGAGAUGAGGAGGAAGGUGCACGAAGGCCGUUGCAUGAAUAGGCGCACGCGCGGUUUACAAGCACGUGGGUAAACCGCCUUCAACAGGAUUCGCACACACAAUACUGCGCUCUCGGAUAUACGCAAAUAGCGUUUUCGUUUCUUUCUACAUCUCCCCUAUCUGCCACGUCGUACGUGCCGCGAAGAUCGCGCAUGUACUUUAUUAUACUUUAUCGAACUCGGGUGCGCGCGAAUCCGGCGGAUUUUUCGCCGACUAACAAGAAUGGAUUGAUAACGGUAUACGUCAAUGACAUCGUUCGGAAGACGUAGCUGAUCGGUGGCUCAACAGAAACAUGGAACGGGUAAUUCCACGUAAUUACGCAGAAACCUGACGUUACGGUAAGCCAACGUGCAAUUUCGACACGUCGGAGUGGUGCAUCCGUUUCGUACUUAGAAGUCGGCAACAAUGGCGCUCUGAACGAUAAAAGUUCGGAUAGCAGCGUACGCCGUACGUGCCAUGCUGCGUGACACCGAUGGCCGCGCAAUCACGUGGAACCAAUACAGGUACACCUUGUACGUGGAGAAGCAUCGUGUACGCACACGCGCGAACUGCACGGAGUGAACCGGAGACGAAGAAAGCGAACGUCUCGUAUGGUGGGGGAACACGAAGGAUGACCUAGAGUGGGAAAGACGACGAUCGACGAAGACGAAAGAGUACACAGACAAUGCCGUUCUGACGAAGACGGGCGAACGGAGAAGGAGGAGGACGAAGGAACGGAAAGAGAAAGAAACUACAGAUACGAAACGCGGUCGAAGAGGAAACGCGAGACAGAAGAUACACGCGGAAAGAAAGAGGAGAGGUCAGGAGCAGACAGAGAGCGAGAGACAAGAGACAAGACUAGAAAGAAGUGGGGAUCGCGAGACAGAAAAGACAAAGACGAAAAUACGAGGAAAGAAGACGGUGGUGGGGGAACAACGUGUCUCUAGAAACGACCUCGUGCGGCAGACGGAGCAACGGAGAGAGUGAAACUAUCGGACGAGGAGGAAAGACGACUGUACUGUAAAGAGCGAGUAAAAAGGGAAAAAUGAUUCUCGCGUAAAGGCGGAAUAAUAUAUCGUAAGUAAAUUGGUCGAUCUGGUUAAAGGAGAAGACGAAGGAAGCGAGGAAAGAAG